rnacentral:rRNA from 1 species
GUGUGACGGCGUGCCUUUUGUAGAAUGAGCCAGCGAGUCGCUGGCGCGGGGCGAGGUUAACCGAAAGGGAGCCGAAGCGAAAGCGAGCCUUAACAGGGCGACUUGAGUCCCGCGCCGCGGACGCGAAGCCGGGUGAGCUAUCCGUGGGCAGGCUGAAGCGGGGGUAAGACCCCGUGGAGGGCCGAACGCACGUCGGUUGAAAACGGCGGCGAUGACCUGCGGAUAGGGGUGAAAGGCCAAUCAAACCCGGAGAUAUCUCGUUCUCCCCGAAAUAGCUUUAGGGCUAGCGUCGCGCGUUCACCGCCGGAGGUAGAGCACCGGAUGGACGAGGGGGCUUCGCCGCCUACCGAAUCCAACCGAACUCCGAAUGCCGGCGGCCCAGAGCGCGGCAGUCAGAGCAUGUGGGCUAAGCUGUGUGCUCGAGAGGGAAACAGCCCGGACCGCCCGCUAAGGUCCCCAAGUCAUCCAGCCGAGUGGCAAAGGAUGUGCGUCCGCCCAGACAACCAGGAUGUUGGCUUAGAAGCAGCCAUCCAUUCAAAGAGUGCGUAACAGCUCACUGGUCGAGUGGACAUGCGCCGACAAUACACGGGGCUAAGCUGGACACCGAAGCGGCGGGAUUUUAAUUCAUUAGAAUCGGUAGGGGAGCUUCCCAUGGGCGGAGAAGCCGGAGGGCGACCGACGGUGGAGCGCAUGGGAGUGAGAAUGCUGGCAUGAGUAGCGAGAGACGAGAGAGUAACUCGUCCGCCGUGAACCCGAGGUUUCCUGGGCAAGGCUAAUCCUCCCAGGGUCAGUCGGGGGCUAAGGCGAGGCCGGGAGGCGUAGCCGACGCGCAGCAGGCAGACAUUCCUGCACCGCGCACGCGGCGCUACGACCGACGGGGCGACGGAUGGGGGUGGCUCGGCGGGGUUCUGGACGUCCCCGUGAUGGAGCGCGGCCCGCGGACCAGGGAAAUCCGGUCCGCAGAAGGGCGAGGCUCCGGACGAAGCGACUGAGCGAAGCGAGUGAGCCCGAGGUCCCUAGAAAAACCCCUAGGCAGGCGCGUGCGCGCCCGUACCGCAAACCGACACAGGUGGGUGGGUAGAACAUACCGAGGCGAUCGGGUCAACCAUGGUCAAGGAACUCGGCACAAUGGCCCCGUAACUUCGGGAGAAGGGGUGCCCGCGCGUACGUGAACCGGCUCGCCCGGGGAGCGGAGGCGGGCCGCAGUGGAGAGGCCCAAGCGACUGUUUACCAAAAACACAGGACUCUGCAGAAGCCGCAAGGCGACGUAUAGGGUCUGACGCCUGCCCGGUGCCGGAAGGUCACGCGGAGGAGUUAGCGCAUUCGGCGAAGCCCCGAAGCCAAGCCCCGGUAAACGGCGGCCGUAACUAUAACGGUCCUAAGGUAGCGAAAUUCCUUGUCGGGUAAGUUCCGACCUGCACGAAAGGCGCAACGACUUGGGCGCUGUCUCGACCAUGGACCCGGUGAAAUUGCACUGGUCGUGAAGAUGCGACUUACCCGCGGAAGGACGGAAAGACCCCGUGAACCUUCACUGCAGCUUGGCAUUGGCCGCUGGUCCCGCGUGUAGAGGAUAGGCAGGAGGCAUCGAUCCGGAGGCGCCAGCCCCCGGGGAGCCGCCCUUGGAAUACUGCCCUCGCGCGACCGGCGUCCUAACCCGAGGCCGUCAACCGGCUCGGGGACCGUGCCAGGCGGGCAGUUUGACUGGGGCGGUCGCCUCCUAAAGGGUAACGGAGGCGCGCGAAGGUCCGCUCGGGACGGUCGGCAACCGUCCUUUUGAAUGCAAGAGUACAAGCGGGCUUGACUGCGAGGCCCACAAGCCGAGCAGGUGCGAAAGCAGGCUCUAGUGAUCCGGCGGCCCCGAGUGGGUGGGCCGUCGCUCAACGGAUAAAAGGUACUCCGGGGAUAACAGGCUGAUCUUGCCCAAGAGUCCACAUCGACGGAAAGGUUUGGCACCUCGAUGUCGGCUCAUCGCAUCCUGGGGCUGGAGCAGGUCCCAAGGGUACGGCUGUUCGCCGUUUAAAGCGGUACGCGAGCUGGGUUCAGAACGUCGUGAGACAGUUCGGUCCCUAUCCUCCGUGGGCGCAGGAGAAUCGAUGGAGGCUGCCCCCAGUACGAGAGGACCGGGGUGGACGCACCUCCGGUGAACCGGUUGUCGACCAACGGCACGGCCGGGUAGCCGCGUGCGGCGCGGAUAACCGCUGAAGGCAUCUAAGCGGGAAGCC